rnacentral:rRNA from 1 species
UACGGGGGGUGCGAGCGUUGUCCGGAAUCACUGGGCGUAAAGGGCGCGUAGGUGGUCUGAUAAGGGUGUGGUGAAAGCCCGGGGCUCAACCCCGGAAUUGCCUUUAAGACUGCAUCGCUAGAAUUGUGGAGAGGUAAGUGGAAUUCCGAGUGUAGAGGUGAAAUUCGUAGAUAUUCGGAAGAACACCAGUGGCGAAGGCGACUUACUGGACACAUAUUGACGCUGAGGUGCGAAAGCGUGGGGAGCAAACAGG